GACGAACGCUGGCGGCGUGCUUAACACAUGCAAGUCGAACGGAAAGGCCCUGCUUUUGUGGGGUGCUCGAGUGGCGAACGGGUGAGUAACACGUGAGUAACCUGCCCUUGACUAUGGGAUAACUUCAGGAAACUGGGGCUAAUACCGGAUAGGAGCUCCUGAUGCAUGGUGGGGGUUGGAAAGUUUCGGCGGUUGGGGAUGGACUCGCGGCUCAUCAGCUUGUUGGUGGGGUAGUGGCUUACCAAGGCUUUGACGGGUAGCCGGCCUGAGAGGGUGACCGGCCACAGUGGGACUGAGAUACGGCCCAGACUGCAACGGGAGGCAGCAGUGGGGAAUAUUGCACAAGGGGCGGAAGCCUGAUGCAGCAACGCCGCGUGCGGGAUGACGGCCUUCGGGUUGUAAACCGCUUUCGCCUGUGACGAAGCGUUAGUGGCGGUAAUGGGUAAAGAAGCACCGGCUAACUACGUG
rnacentral:rRNA from 1 species